rnacentral:lncRNA from 1 species
ACCAUAUAUGACCGUUGGAUAAUUAAAUGGUAGUCAUUUUAUUGUUUCUUUGAAAAGUUGUAUUCGUCUAUUUUCUUCACUACAAUUAGAUAUCUAAUGGUUUUAAAUUUUUCUAAGUUUUUACAAGGACGAUCUAUAUGAAUGAUGAAUUAAAAUAUAGACGGUUCAAAUCAUUGAAAAAAGUUACAAAAUGAGCACCAUAAGGUAUUCCUCAACGGAAGGGGAGUAUACAUAUAGAGGGAGUUCUCAACUAAGAUUAUUUGAGGGAUACCUUGUGGAGCUCACUUCGUAGAAAAUUUCAACAAUCCAAAUCGUAUGCAUAUAUUGUUCUUAAAAAAAAUAGACAAAUAAAAAACCAUUAAGAUAUCCAAUAAUACUCAAAUCCGAAACAAUAUGAUCAUAAUUAAAUGGUAUUCACUAGAAUUGGAUGUCUUAAUGGUUUUAAAUUUUUCUAAUUUUUUUGUAAGAAUGAUCUAUGAAUGAUGAAUUAAAAUAUAGAUGGUUAUCGUUGAAAAAGUUACAAGAUGAGCACCAUAAGGUGUUCCUCAAAGGAAGAGGAGAAUAUAUACAAAGGGAUCCCUAAAAUAAGGCUAUCCGAGGGACACCUUGUGGAGCUUG